AGGACACUAGUAAAACGGCAAUUACACUACCUUGUCAAGGCAGUAUUGCGGGUUCGACCCCCGCGUGUCCUA
rnacentral:tRNA from 1 species